AUGCGCUCCGACGAGCACACGUUCGGCACCGACGGCGUGGAGCUGCAGUUCUUUCACGGGCACGACGUCGACGAGGACGAGGACGGCAGCACCAUGUUCGCGGACGAGGAAGCCUCGGCAGAGUCAUCAUCGGCGACGGCUCUGGACGCGGCGAAGCGGGCGGCGGUGGGAGUGGGCGCGCGGGUGCUCUUCUACCCGAAGAUGGCCUACAAGCUGGUGGCCGGCCGGCCUGCUCGGGGUAAAGCCUCGGAGGAGCCGUCGUCAUCGUCGGCGACGACUCUAGACGCGGCGAAGCACGCGGCGGUGGGCAUGGGCGCGCGGGCGCUCUUCUACCCGACGCUCGCCUACAGCCUGGCCCGGUACCGCCUCUCAUCCGAAUUCCACUGGUGGAACCUCAUCGAAGGCACCCACAUCUACCUCGGCGCCGUCCCGUUCCCGAGCGACGUGCCGCGCCUGCACGACCUGGGCGUCCGCGACGUGGUGACCCUCACCGAGCCCUACGAGCGGCUGGUGCCCAAGUCGCUGUACAUUAAACACAAGAUGGAGAACCUGGUGCUGCCAACCACUGACUACCUCUACGCGCCGUCCAAGGACGACCUCUGCCGUGCCGCGGCGUUCAUCCACAGCAGCGGGGAGCGAGGGAGAAAGACGUACGUGCACUGCAAGGCCGGGCGCGCGCGCAGCGCCACGGUGGUUAUGUGCUACCUGGUGCGGUACAAGGGGAUGACGGCGAAGGAGGCGUACGAUCACGUGCGGUGGUGCCGGCCCAGGGUGUCGCUGGCUCCGGCGCAGUGGCAGGCGGUCCAGGACUUCGAGGACUUCUACCGGCGGCCGGCCGGUGGCUCGGAGUGA
rnacentral:rRNA from 1 species